rnacentral:rRNA from 1 species
GAGUUUGAUCCUGGCUCAGAUUGAACGCUGGCGGCAGGCCUAACACAUGCAAGUCGAGCGGAUGACAGGAGCUUGCUCCUGAAUUCAGCGGCGGACGGGUGAGUAAUGCCUAGGAAUCUGCCUGGUAGUGGGGGACAACGUCUCGAAAGGGACGCUAAUACCGCAUACGUCCUACGGGAGAAAGUGGGGGAUCUUCGGACCUCACGCUAUCAGAUGAGCCUAGGUCGGAUUAGCUAGUUGGUGAGGUAAUGGCUCACCAAGGCGACGAUCCGUAACUGGUCUGAGAGGAUGAUCAGUCACACUGGAACUGAGACACGGUCCAGACUCCUACGGGAGGCAGCAGUGGGGAAUAUUGGACAAUGGGCGAAAGCCUGAUCCAGCCAUGCCGCGUGUGUGAAGAAGGUCUUCGGAUUGUAAAGCACUUUAAGUUGGGAGGAAGGGUUGUAGAUUAAUACUCUGCAAUUUUGACGUUACCGACAGAAUAAGCACCGGCUAACUCUGUGCCAGCAGCCGCGGUAAUACAGAGGGUGCAAGCGUUAAUCGGAAUUACUGGGCGUAAAGCGCGCGUAGGUGGUUUGUUAAGUUGAAUGUGAAAUCCCCGGGCUCAACCUGGGAACUGCUACAGCUAGAGUAGGGCAGAGGGGUGGAGAAGCGAUAUAGGAAGGAACACCAGUGCGAAGGCGACCACCGGGCUCAUA